rnacentral:rRNA from 1 species
GACGAACGCUGGCGGCGUGCUUAACACAUGCAAGUCGAACGGGCCUGUCUUCUUUUUUGGGGGGUGGGUUGAGUGGCGAACGGGUGAGUAUCACGUGAGUAACCUGCCCUUCGGUCCUGGAUAACCGCUUGAAAGGGCGGCUAAUACGGGGUGGUCCGGUUGGUCCGCAUGGGCUGGUCGGGAUAGAUUCACUGUUUUUGGUGUUUCGGCGGGGGAUGGGCUCGCGGCCUAUCAGCUUGUUGGUGGGGUGAUGGCCUACCAAGGCGGUGACGGGUAGCCGGCCUGAGAGGGUGGGCGGCCACACUGGGACUGGGAUACGGCCCAGACUCCUGCGGGAGGAAGCAGUGGGGGGUAUUGAAAAAUGGGCGGAAGCCUGAUGCAGCGACGUCGCGUGAGGGAUGGAGGCCUUCGGGUUGUGAACCUCUGUUUCCGGUGGUGAAGGCCCUGUCCGUGUGGUGGGGUUGACGGUAGCCGGGGAUGAAGCGCCGGCUAACUACGUG